rnacentral:lncRNA from 1 species
CUAUUUUGUUGGCUAUAUAUGUAUACAUUUUCUGAGGUUUGAUCUGCUAUAAUUUGGUCAAAUUGGGUAUUAUUGAUUAGAUACUGUGUGUGCUUAUUAUGGAACUGAUAUUUGGUAGGCAUAGAGUCAAGCCUUAAAUAAAGAUCUAAGGAUCCUGCUCUCCUCCAAUAAUGACUCAGUGAUCAGAAGUUAGACUCAACCUGACCAUAUGCCUUAGAACAAUGAAGAUGAAUCUUUUAGAGACUGAGUGCCCAAACUGCAACCCUCAUACCACAGGUGAGCCCCUCCUUUACCCAAAACAUGAGAGGGAGGAAGCACUACCAUUGGCCUGAUGGACAAAGGGACAGGUGAUGUAAGAAAUGUCCUCAGGAAGGGAAUAGCCCCCCUCUGACAUGUGUCACACAGGUUCACCAACAUGGCCUUAGAAUAAUAAUAUUUAAAGGAAUAGCUAGCUAUAACUCAGGUCUUCUAUUCCCUCUCUCUGAGAAGAAUAGAAUAGCCAAGUUUUGGAGCCAAGCCAACUGCUUCUUCUCCUGACAUGAAUUAGUAACCUUUGGAGAUGGGAUGAAUAAGAAGAGUCUCAAGAUGUCUAUUGUGUUACCCUUAACAUCAUACAAUGACAGACUUCGUGCUACACAUGAUGCUUCCUUGCCACAGUAACAGCCUCUGUGUCCAGUCUCUGCUCUUGGAAGAGUUUGAAGUGGAAUGUUGGCCCUGCAACCUCUCAUGCAUCCAGCUUUGCAAAAUCCCUUUCCUACAGUAUUGAUUGUAAGAGAGAAGCAGCUUCAACUAUGAGAUUGGAAGAGGCAAUGGAAUGGAACAAAAAAGAGAGCAUAUCUUCAACAGAGGAAAAGUUGGAGACACUGGAAGCACAAAUUGAGGGAGAUUUCAACUCACACUCUUAUGCUGCUUAUUUAGCAUAAUAUGUUUACUGUUAAUGAAUGUUUAACAUUCUAGUCUGGUUAGGCCAGUCUAAUGAAUAUAACCGUCUUUAAACUGUAGAUCGCUUUCAAUGAAAAUGUGAUAACAUAGCAAGAUUAUACAUUUCAUAUCCUUAAAACAAAUAAUCUCACUUCUGGGCUUAUACUCAUGAGGAUGUCAAAGGCUAGAAAUAAAAUUCCAAU